rnacentral:rRNA from 1 species
GACGAACGCUGGCGGCGUGCUUAACACAUGCAAGUCGAACGGAAAGGCCCUGCUUUUGUGGGGUGCUCGAGUGGCGAACGGGUGAGUAACACGUGAGUAACCUGCCCUUGACUUUGGGAUAACUUCAGGAAACUGGGGCUAAUACCGGAUAGGAGCUCCUGCUGCAUGGUGGGGGUUGGAAAGCUUCGGCGGUUGGGGAUGGACUCGCGGCUUAUCAGCUUGUUGGUGGGGUAGUGGCUUACCAAGGCUUUGACGGGUAGCCGGCCUGAGAGGGUGACCGGCCACAUUGGGACUGAGAUACGGCCCAGACUCCUACGGGAGGCAGCAGUGGGGAAUAUUGCACAACGGGCGGAAGCCUGAUGCAGCAACGCCGCGUGCGGGAUGACGGCCUUCGGGUUGUAAACCGCUUUCGCCUGUGACGAAGCGUGAGUGACGGUAAUGGGUAAAGAAGCACCGGCUAACUACGUGCCAGCAGCCGCGGUGAUACGUAGGGUGCGAGCGUUGUCCGGAUUUAUUGGGCGUAAAGGGCUCGUAGGUGGUUGAUCGCGUCGGAAGUGUAAUCUUGGGGCUUAACCCUGAGCGUGCUUUCGAUACGGGUUGACUUGAGGAAGGUAGGGGAGAAUGGAAUUCCUGGUGGAGCGGUGGAAUGCGCAGAUAUCAGGAGGAACACCAGUGGCGAAGGCGGUUCUCUGGGCCUUUCCUGACGCUGAGGAGCGAAAACGUGGGGAGCGAACAGGCUUAGAUACCCUGGUAGUCCACGCUGUAAACGGUGGGUACUAGGUGUGGGGUCCAUUCCACGGGUUCCGUGCCGUAGCUAACGCUUUAAGUACCCCGCCUGGGGAGUACGGCCGCAAGGCUAAAACUCAAAGGAAUUGACGGGGCCCCGCACAAGCGGCGGAGCAUGCGGAUUAAUUCGAUGCAACGCGUAGAACCUUACCUGGGUUUGACAUGGAUCGGGAGUGCUCAGAGAUGGGUGUGCCUCUUUUGGGGUCGGUUCACAGGUGGUGCAUGGCUGUCGUCAGCUCGUGUCGUGAGAUGUUGGGUUAAGUCCCGCAACGAGCGCAACCCUUGUUCACUGUUGCCAGCACGUUAUGGUGGGGACUCAGUGGAGACCGCCGGGGUCAACUCGGAGGAAGGUGGGGAUGACGUCAAGUCAUCAUGCCCCUUAUGUCCAGGGCUUCACGCAUGCUACAAUGGCUGGUACAGAGAGUGGCGAGCCUGUGAGGGUGAGCGAAUCUCGGAAAGCCGGUCUCAGUUCGGAUUGGGGUCUGCAACUCGACCUCAUGAAGUCGGAGUCGCUAGUAAUCGCAGAUCAGCAACGCUGCGGUGAAUAAGUUCCCGGG